rnacentral:misc_RNA from 1 species
GGUCUUAGGUUUGAGGCUUAUGAGCUUCCGAAGCCCUCGGUGCCGUCUAGGACAACUCCAGUAUCACUUGCAUCAUCAACCGAACUUGUUCCAGUUCCUGAGCCAUCUUAUCAUAGGGAGGUACAACAGGCAGCUACUGUGCCGUCUUCAUCUGAUACUGGAUCAUCAGAAGUCAAGCUACGACUUGAUGGAGUCCAGAAGAAGUGGGGUAGGCCAACUUACUCAUCUUCUGCAGCCUCUACAUCAAAUUCCAGCUCACAGAAUACUGUGUAUGAGGUUACUCCUGUUGAUGGGUCAAGCAAUGUGAAUUCAAAAGCACGUGAGGCUUCUUAUGACUUGAAGAAGACACAAGUUGAAAUCUCUCCUGAAAAGCAGAAGCUUGCUGCAUCUCUUUUUGGAGGUACAUCAAAAUCUGAGAGAAGGGCGUCUUCAACAGGCCACAAGGUUCCUAAGGGAAGCAGCCAUGUUUUAAAGUCAACAGCUGGAUCUACCACUGAUGUUUU